rnacentral:rRNA from 1 species
UUCUUUAAGUAAGGUGUUAAAGUAUACCCUGCCCCCUGAUAAGUAUUAAAGGGCCGCAGUAGCCUGACUGUGCUAAGGUAGCAUAAUCAUUAGGUCUUUAAUUGGGAUCUGGAAUGAAUGGGUGAAUGAAGGGAAUCUGUCUUUAGAUUAGUAGUUGAACUUAACAUCUUAGUAAUAAGGCUAGGGUAACUCUAUGGGACGAUAAGACCCUAUAAGCUUUAUUCUUUUUAUUAUUAGAACUUUUAACUAUUCUAAAUGUAACAAGAAUUGAACUGGGGCGGUUGAUACAUAACGUGUUAUGUUUAGGUGAAAUUUGGAUCCACCAGUGGUGAAACAAGAUUAAGUUACUUUAGGGAUAACAGCAUAAUAUGCUUAUGGAGUUCUAAUCGAAGAGUAUGUUUGUGACCUCGAUGUUGAAUUAAUCUAAUUGCAUGGUGAAGACGCUAUGUGAGUUAGUCUGUUCGACUAUUGAAUGAUUACA